ACUCCUACGGGAGGCAGCAGUGAGGAAUAUUGGUCAAUGGAGGAACUCUGAACCAGCCAUCCCGCGUGUAGGAAGACGGCCUUAUGGGUUGUAAACUACUUUUAUACAGGAAGAAACGUACCCUCGUGAGGGUGCCUGACGGUACUGUAGGAAUAAGCACCGGCUAACUCCGUGCCAGCAGCCGCGGUAAUACGGAGGGGUGCGAGCGUUAUCCGGAUUUAUUGGGGUUUAAAGGGGUCCGUAGGCGGAUUAAUAAGUCAGUGGUGAAAUCCCAUCGCUUAACGAUGGAACUGCCAUUGAUACUGUUAGUCUUGAAUGAGGGUGCAGUGGUUGGAAUGUGUAGUGUAGCGGUGAAAUGCAUAGAUAUUACACAGAACACCGAUUGCGAAGGCAGAUCACUAACCCUAAAUUGACGCUGAGGGACGAAAGCGUGGGGAGCGAACAGGAUUAGAUACCCUGGUAGGAUAGCG
rnacentral:rRNA from 1 species